CACGAGGGUAGAGGCCUUGAUACCCGCCCCGCAACACCCCGAGGCACCUACGGGGCGGGAGGAGCCAGUGGUGCGACCGGCUACCGCUACG
ncrna:unclassified sequences c-di-GMP-II-GAG riboswitch